rnacentral:rRNA from 1 species
UACGGAGGGUGCAAGCGUUAAUCGGAAUUACUGGGCGUAAAGCGUGCGUAGGCGGUUCGUUAAGUCUGUUGUGAAAGCCCCGGGCUCAACCUGGGAAUGGCAAUGGAUACUGGCGAGCUAGAGUGUGUCAGAGGAUGGUGGAAUUCCCGGUGUAGCGGUGAAAUGCGUAGAGAUCGGGAGGAACACCAGUGGCGAAGGCGGUUGCCUGGAGCUUUGCUGACGCUGAUGCGCGAAAGCGUGGGGAGCGAUCCGG